UCAGGCAGUAACAUCAUCUGGUUGCAAGGUUGCUUGGAACAUCCUGGAGGUUCAGGAACAGGAGGAAUUGGAAAAUGUACCACAAGAGAAUAUCCCCAGAGGUGGAAAGAUGUGGGUUUGAACCCCGAGUGCUGCCAGAAGAAGAAAACUGAAUCUGUGUCUGCUACAUCAUUAUGCCUGGGCCCGGCAGCACUCGCUUUGCUAUAAGACAGACAUCUGCUUCCAGAAGAAUCCUGUACUUUUUGAGAAGGAACACACAAACUUCCAAGUGGUGUCAGCGACUGUGUGAGAUGCAGAGCUUUCUAAUAUGUGAAACCUCUUAUUGAAUCCUCUUAUGAAUAUAUUUGCCAUGUAAUUGAUUAGUCUAAUUUUAUAUUCUUAAACUUUAAGGGGUUCUGCCCCAACAGUUAUAUUCAUUUUGUCCCAAUAAACAUUGCUUAUAUUUGUGGUCAAUAUAAGCACAUGGGUAGGGUGACCAUAUGUCCUUUUACUGCAUUUGUGUAAGUCUGUCUCCUGUUCAUUAAUGUUAUCCAUUCCAUCCUCCCUUUACAGUUUGAAAAUAUUCUAAGCUUGCAGGGUAGUACAUCUGUUUAUCAUGGCCAGGAAGAAUGCAAUUGUUGGGAACCAAAGUUCAGUAUUUGUCUUAGGGGAGAUUGUGGCAGGCCCUGAGGCAGCUGUGGCACCCCUGAAUCCUGCCUGCACUCCUAGUCUUCUGAAUAGCUGUUCUUGCUCCUCUCACCUACCAUGCCUUGAUGUACUUCUAAUAGAUUGGGAGCCUUCCCCUGAGUCCUGAAGUGCCUUCACUGAUGUCUCAUUGACCUUUCAUGGUCUCUGGGCCCCCAGUGCACUAACCAAA